UGGGGAAUUUUGGACAAUGGGCGCAAGCCUGAUCCAGCCAUGCCGCGUGCGGGAAGAAGGCCUUCGGGUUGUAAACCGCUUUUGUCAGGGAAGAAAUCUUCUGAGUUAAUACCUCGGGAGGAUGACGGUACCUGAAGAAUAAGCACCGGCUAACUACGUGCCAGCAGCCGCGGUAAUACGUAGGGUGCAAGCGUUAAUCGGAAUACUGGGCGUAAAGCGUGCGCAGGCGGUUUUGUAAGACAGAGGUGAAAUCCCCGGGCUCAACCUGGGAACUGCCUUUGUGACUGCAAGGCUUGAGUGCGGCAGAGGGGGGAUGGAAUUCCGCGUGUAGCAGUGAAAUGCGUAGAUAUGCGGAGGAACACCGAUGGCGAAGGCAAUCCCCUGGGCCUGCACUGACGCUCAUGCACGAAAGCGUGGGGAGCAAACAGGAUUAGAUGCCCUGGUAGUCCACGCCCUAAGCGAUGUCAACUGGUUGUUGGGAAGGUUCCUUCUCAGUAACGUAGCUAACGC
rnacentral:rRNA from 1 species